AUUGAACGCUGGCGGCAGGCCUAACACAUGCAAGUCGAGCGGUAACAGGGAUAGCUUGCUAUCUGCUGACGAGCGGCGGACGGGUGCGUAACGCGUAGGAAUUUGCCCGGUAGAGGGGGAUAGCCCGGAGAAAUUCGGAUUAAUACCGCAUACCUUCUACGGAAGAAAGCAGGGGAUCUUCGGACCUUGCGCUAUCGGAUGAGCCUGCGUCGGAUUAGCUAGUUGGUGGGGUAAAUGCCUACUAAGGCGACGAUCCGUAGCUGGUCUGAGAGGAUGAUCAGCCACACUGGGACUGAGACACGGCCCAGACUCCUACGGGAGGCAGCAGUGGGGAAUAUUGCACAAUGGGCGCAAGCCUGAUGCAGCCAUGCCGCGUGUGUGAAGAAGGCCCUAGGGUUGU
rnacentral:rRNA from 1 species